GAGUGGAGGGUGCACCUAAUUUUCGAGAAAUUCCUGAUUUUCCUGUUUACGGUGUUGCAAACCCUAGUAUUGAUGGUAUUCGAGCUGUUAUCCACAGGGUUAGUAGUACGAAGGGUGGACGCCCCGUUUUAUGGCACAAUAUGAGAGAAGAACCAGUUAUCUAUAUAAAUGGCAAGCCUUUUGUGUUGCGUGAAGUAGAAAGGCCAUACAAAAACAUGCGCGAG
rnacentral:misc_RNA from 1 species